rnacentral:lncRNA from 1 species
UGUGAUUAUUUGUUUAUUUAUUUAUUUAUUUUAAAGAGACAGGGUUGCACUAUAUUGCCACGUUGGCCAAGCUGGUCUGACCUCAGGUGAUCCGCCCACCUCGGCCUCCCAAAGUGCUGGGAUUACAGGCAUGAGCCACCAUACCCAGCCUUUUUUUGAGACAGGGUCUUGCUCUGUCACCCAGGCUGGAGUGCAGUGAUGCAAUCUCAGCUCACUGCAGCCUCAACAUACUGGGCUCAAGUGAUCCUCCCACCUCAGCCUCCUGAGUAGCUGGGACCGCAAGCCUGCACCACCACGCCUGGUUAAUUUUUAAUUUUUUUUUUAGAGCUGGGGUCUCUCUACAUUGCCCGGGGCUGGUCUCAGACUCGCCCUGCCUCCCAUGUGAUCUCCCCAGAGGCCCGCCCUGUAGCUACGCAGGGCCCAUGGGCUGAGAAAUGUUUGGGGAAACAGAGUCUGGGUGUAUUACCUAAAUCAACCAGAAUGGGAUGGGGAGCCAGGAUUCAAACCAAACUCUGGGGAUCCCCUUCAUUGCCUCUGGUCUCCUGGAAGGGGGAGGGGGCAGGAGUUCAGAUCCCUCUCACCUGAGAGAUUCUGAGCCCUCCUUAUAGGGGCGGGGCAGGGGUGGAGCCCACAGGAGGUAGGAAGGGGCUUGCUCACUGAGGCCACACGGGGGCGCCAGAGACCAGAGGAGGGACAGGCGCUCCAGCCAGCAUUAGGGAACCGGAGAUAGGGAAGGGCUCCUGGGUGGGAAGAUGGGCCUCUCCUCCGCUGCCCCUCGUGGACACCCCUGGUGAGGCCUCUGGGCCCUGCCUCACUCCCUGUGUGACCUCAGGCAAGUCCCUUAACCUCUCUGGUAAGUUCUCAGAAAGGUUCAUCCCCAGCCAUCUGUCCAUCCCCACACAGUAUAGCUGAGUGGACACUGAGUCCCAGGGCUGAGGCCAGGGCUGCACGGGGCAGGGCUGGGACUGGCAUUCGGCACCUCCCGCCUCUCACACGUGAUUCUUUCUGGUCCUUUAUUAGUUUUUGUCACAUCUGUCUUGUAAGCCUCAAUUUCCUUGUCUGUAAAAGGGGGUUGGGUCCGGGCAUGGUGGCUCAUGCCUGUAAGCCCAGCAUUUUGGGAGGCCGAGGUGGGAGGAUCACUUGAGCCCAGAAGUUCAAGAUCAGCCUGGGUGACAUAGUGAGACCUCAUCUCUACAAACGAACUUAAAAAUUAGCUGAGUGUGGUGGUGAGAGCCUGUAGUUCCAGCUACUCGGGAGGCCAAGGUGGGCGGAUCACUUGAGCCCAGGAAUUCAAGACCAGCCUGGUCAACAUGGCAAAACCCUGUCUCUACUAAAAAUACAAAAAUUAGCCUGGAAUGGUGACACACACCUGCAGUCCCAGCUACUCGGGAGGCUGAGAAAGGAGAAUCACUUGAACCUGGGAGGCAGAGCUUGCAGUGAGCUGAGAUUGUGCCACUGCACUCCAGCCUAGGUGACAGAAUGAGACCAUGUCUCCAAAAUAAAUAAAUAAAUAAAAAUAAAGGGGGAGGGUUGGGCCCCCUGCUCAUUCCUUUGCAGCUCCAAUGGAAGGAAGUCUGUAAAGGCUCAGUCUCUUUCUGAGCUUAUUCCAGCCUUAGCAAGCAGCCAGGCCUCCAGCCCUGACUGCCCGAAGCAGCUCCAGGGCAUGGCACCAUGUUGGCUCAGCAGAUCUGUUUUCUGAUCCUGUGGGGCCAGACCACUAGGGCCACAGCAGCCUUGACACGCUCCCCACAGAGCCCUGAGCAUGGCACAGCCCAAGGCCCAGCUCACAGGGAUGGGUGAGUCUUGACAGGAGACACCCCCGAGAGCCUCAGUCACACCCUGUCCAGGCAGUCAGGCCACCCUCUUUCCUUUCCUUCUCACCAGGGUACCUUCAUUCAAAUGCCUCCUCCAUGGUCGACUACUCCCCAGGUGCAGGAGGGCUCAGCUACCCCCCGCAGCCUCUCACUCAUCCCGCAAGCCCCUUGGUACUGAGGGACAUCACUAGCUCUCUCACCCAGCUCUGUGGGGAGCACUCAUGCUGAUAACAGCUUGCAAGUGUAAGGGGCCUCUUGGUAACUUAAAGUGACUUUAGAUCUAUUAUCUUCACAAGGGCCACACUAGGAGAGAGUUAUUACCCUCCUUUAUAGACUAAUGCAUGGAAGCUGGGGAGGGAGGUGGUGCCAGCCUUGAGCUCCUUCCUUGAGUGCAGACUCGCCCUGCAGAGGGCAGGUGUGUUGGGGCAGGGAGAGGACCUGAGAACCCAGCAUGAGGAAGUGGCAGGGAACCCUGUGUCUGCCCCCAAGGGCAUAGCCCUCUGUGGCUGGGAGCCCAGACACAAGGCAGGUUGCCCAGGUCUGUGGCAUCCUGGCCACAUUGGAGGGCUGCUGAGCCCAGGGUUGGAGCGCCCCCUUCCUCAAAGUCCUGAGAAUCAGCCUUCAGGGGAAGGCCUAGGAUGAGAGUCUCCAGCCGUGGCCUCGGGAAGCAGCUCCCACCAGAUGGUUCUUCAGGGCUGGCAGGAAUGGCGGCCGCCCCCUGCCCUUAGCCACUCUGGAAACGUGCACAUGGCAUAGUGGCCCGCUCCUACCCAGGAGGUCAGGACAUGAGAGGCUGGCCUUGGGUCCUGCAGCCCUGCCCGCUGCUGACCAGGCGUGGGGCCUUGGGUAGAUCUCUUCCUCACUCUCUGGACGCUGUCUUUUUGUGUAUAAUGGAGAACUGCACCUGUUCAGGUGUGAGAGACAAAUGAGCUUCCCAGUAUGGCCACCAAUGGCCGUCCCAACCUUUCUCUGAAGGAGCACGGGCGGCAAUGUGAUUGGAGCCGGGGAGCUCCCUAAGCCCACCCUUGAGCCUCAGAUGCCUGGCUCUUAUUUGAAGGUGCGUCUGUUGGGAUGGCUUUGGGAAGGAGCUGAUGCAAAUGCUAGGGGUGUGGACCCCCCAG